UCCUGCAACAGUAAUAAAAUUACUGGGUGUCGUGCACUCUCUACCCAGGUUCACAAGGUACCGGAGGGGGAGCUGCCGGGGGACACGCCACCACUGAAGGUAAAACUUGGAGACUGGGUAAGGGGAAAGGUCCACAAGAGAAAGUGGCUGGAACCCAGGUGGACUGGUCUGUACGAAGUGAAGGAGGUUACUUCACACUCAGUCCAGGUCAAAGACCAUACCGUUUCUAGGCGUGAGGUGGGAGUCACUAAGUGCACCCCCCAGGAGUUGAAGAGCACCACCUUGUGUUUGCCUUUCAAUGCCACCACCACCGUUUACCUGCCUUGGGGCCUUUUGGGUCAUGCGCAAAAUAGUUUGGGGCUACCUGCCUGGACCUAUUCCAGUUUUAACUGGUAUAUAACCAAAGGGGGAUAUGGUGAGUGGUCUUGGAAAAACUUGGUGGCAGAAACGGGGCAUGACUGGUCCAGCUAUUCCGAGGGACGGGUUGUUCUUGCCUGGCGCAAACGGCUUACAUUUUCACGCACUGGUUUUCAACUAAAGCUGA
rnacentral:lncRNA from 13 species